AACGAACGCUGGCGGCAGGCUUAACACAUGCAAGUCGAACGGGCGUAGCAAUACGUCAGUGGCAGACGGGUGAGUAACACGUGGGAACCUUCCUAGGGGGUACGGAACAACUCAGGGAAACUUGAGCUAAUACCGUAUACGUCCGUGAGGAGAAAGAUUUAUCGCCCUUAGACGGGCCCGCGUCGGAUUAGCUAGUUGGUGGGUAACGGCCUACCAAGGCGACGAUCCGUAGCUGAUCUGAGAGGAUGAUCAGCCACACUGGGACUGAGACACGGCCCAGACUCCUACGGGAGGCAGCAGUGGGGAAUCUUGGACAAUGGGCGCAAGCCUGAUCCAGCCAUGCCGCGUGAGUGAAGAAGGCCUUCGG
rnacentral:rRNA from 1 species